rnacentral:rRNA from 1 species
AAUACGACUCUCGGCAACGGAUAUCUCGGCUCUCGCAUCGAUGAAGAACGUAGCGAAAUGCGAUACUUGGUGUGAAUUGCAGAAUCCCGUGAACCAUCGAGUCUUUGAACGCAAGUUGCGCCCCAAGCCGUUAAGCUGAGGGCACGUCUGCCUGGGUGUCACGC